UUGUUAAUAUAUGCGAAAAGCCUUCUCUUUCUCUGCCCUGAACCAAAAGGAAAGUGGAAGAUCCUUCUCUACAAGAUUUUCCAUGGGUAGUAACCUUUUUUAUCUUAUGAUCACCCCCUUCUUAUUGUUCCUUACAACUACCCAUGCAAAUUCAACUCAUCAUUGUUCACCUUCUUCUUGUGAUAAUAUCAUCAACAUAACUACUCCUUUCCGACUUAAUACUGAUCCAAUUCACUGUGGCGACUUUAAUUAUGAGCUUUCUUGCGAGAACAAUCAUACGGUAUCAUACUUAAACUCUGUCAAGUACUUUGUGCGGUCAAUCAAUUAUGCCAAUCACACCAUUCGAGUUGUGAACUCCAAUCUUCACAACAACAGUUGCUCCAUUCUUCACAACAACAGUUGCUCCACCCUUCCAUCUCCACCAAAAAUCCCGUUGAGAAAUUUGAAGUCUUACACGUACACAAAGAAUAUAGCUAGUAAUCCUGAAAUGUGAGAAUCCUGUUAAUUCCUCUUAUUAUAUAGACACCGCUCCUAGCGAAGUUGGUGCUUCUUAUCAUUACUAUGUGGUCGAUGGUGGCUUUAACGUUUCUGAUUUGGCGAGCGGGUGCCGCACGGAGCUAAGGACCUUCGUAUCGAAUCAGACAGUGGUGAAUGGAAGGUAUACUUCUUAUGUGGACAUUCACAACCAGCUUGCUUAUGGCUUUGAGCUUUCAUGGUUGGACUUCAAACAAGAAGAUGAAGUCUGCUACAUCAAUUAUUCCAACUACAUGCAAUGUGAUCGUGAUUCGUCGACUGCUAAUGAAGCUGAAUAUACAUCUAAUGAAGCUGAAUAUACAUCAUGGAUUAUUUUCCGUUACAUCAUAACCUAUAUAAGCUAUGCGCUUGAUUUCUUGGACAGAAAAGCUUCAUGCCACAUCGAUUAUUCCAACAAGAUUAUAUGUCGUUUUGGUAAGCUC